rnacentral:rRNA from 1 species
UACGGAGGGGGCUAGCGUUGUUCGGAAUCACUGGGCGUAAAGCGCACGUAGGCGGACUCUUAAGUCGGUGGUGAAAUCCUGGAGCUCAACUCCAGAACUGCCUUCGAUACUGAGAGUCUUGAGUCCGGGAGAGGUGAGUGGAACUGCGAGUGUAGAGGUGAAAUUCGUAGAUAUUCGCAAGAACACCAGUGGCGAAGGCGGCUCACUGGCCCGGUACUGACGCUGAGGUGCGAAAGCGUGGGGAGCAAACAGG